rnacentral:lncRNA from 1 species
GCUGAGAGAUGUGAAUAUUUUUCACUAAAUAAAAAAUGUUUUAGUAAAGAAAAAGCAUGAGUCCUUUUUUACACAGACUGUCACAAAAUUCUUAAUGACUCUGUCUUGCAUCUUGGCAAAUCUUGUAAAUGAGAGGGUACAGGUUUUAAAAAAGCACACCCAAAAAGCUUCUUCAGCAAAUUAAAAGAGAAGAUACUGCUGAAGUAAAGAUUAUCUGUGCUAUUUAUAGAUAACCAGCCAAUUUCUAAGAGACUCAAUUUGUCUCUGACUCACACGCUGAUUCAUUUUGCAAUUCAGGAAGUAGGACUGACUCAAGAAUGACAAGAAAAAGAGAAAAAACUCCUCAAACUAAAAUUCGGGAGAAAAGGAUAUAUCAUCAAUCCUCAAAAAUAGAGAUCAUCCUCUCCAAUUGUCUGCUUUUACUGAUUUGCUGAAAAUCUAUCAAGCUUUAAUACAGUUGAGAAACAGAAUGGAUUCCUUCAAAGAGGUGUUUCUAUCAGACCAGUGGUGAGUACAUAAUCUAAUAUUACUUUUGUGUAGUUAUUAAGAUGUUCUGUUUUCCAUUUUGAGGAUCUUACAUUGUGUUAUAACUUAUUUCAUAA